rnacentral:lncRNA from 1 species
UAAGUGAAAAGAUUUAAUAUAUAUGUAUAUAUAUAUAUAUAUAUAGAGAGAGAGAGAGAGAGAAUAGGGCUACUAUAUAUAUAUAUAUAUAUAUAUAGAGCAGGGCUGCUGUGCUCUCAGGAGCACAGAGGCCUCCGUGCUCCUGAGCCGUUUUCGAUGAUGGAAUUUUCGAAUCGACGAUCGGCUCCGUUAGACUUGAUCUAGCGCAUUUGAAGUUUCUAGAAAAUAAUUUCUGCGAUUUUUCGAUAUCAUUUACCUAGUGAUCGAAAGGAUUCAAAAUCCAUAAUUUUUAAUGGUUGAUAUAUGCCGUUUUCAAGUUUAACGGUGUAGAAGUAUUCAAAUCAGAUGAAAUUUUGAUAGAAAAUUCUUUAUUCUAUCUACAAC